AGUGAUCCUCCUGCCUUGGCCUCCCAGAGUGCUGAGAUUACAGAGAGAGAAUGCUAAUGAGCUGUGAAAUGACCAAAGAUCUGGCAGCAGAAGAGAAGAGAAAAAAUAACGGAGUAUUUUCUGUCCACAAUUGGUUGAAUCUGUGGAUGUGGAAACUGCAGAUACAGAUGAAGAGCCGACUAUACUAGCUUUUUGUUUCCUUUUUCACUUCUGGUGUGUGUGUAUGUGUG